GCGGAUAAUAUAGCCUUGCGAAGUUUGCAAUUUUCAGUCAUUUACUUAUUACAAACGGGAAACGGUUACCACUUCUUUGCGUAAUCUAAAAUGACUGAAAAUCACAAACUUCGCAAGGCUAUAUUAUCCGCAUUUU